rnacentral:rRNA from 1 species
CGGUACAGGGUGAUAGUCCCGUACACGAAAAUGCACAGGUUGUGAACUCGAAGAGUAGGGCGGGACACGUGGUAUCCUGUCUGAAUAUGGGGGGACCAUCCUCCAAGGCUAAAUACUCCUGACUGACCGAUAGUGAACCAGUACCGUGAGGGAAAGGCGAAAAGAACCCCGGCGAGGGGAGUGAAAAAGAACCUGAAACCGUGUACGUACAAGCAGUGGGAGCCUCUUUAUGGGGUGACUGCGUACCUUUUGUAUAAUGGGUCAGCGACUUAUAUUCUGUAGCAAGGUUAACCGUAUAGGGGAGCCGAAGGGAAACCGAGUCUUAACUGGGCGUUAAGUUGCAGGGUAUAGACCCGAAACCCGGUGAUCUAGCCAUGGGCAGGUUGAAGGUUGGGUAACACUAACUGGAGGACCGAACCGACUAAUGUUGAAAAAUUAGCGGAUGACCUGUGGCUGGGGGUGAAAGGCCAAUCAAACCGGGAGAUAGCUGGUUCUCCCCGAAAGCU